CGAAAUUUUGACAGAUUCCGAUAAAAAAAUAUUAAAAAACUCAGUCAUGUUUUUUUUCUAUUAUUUUGUUCAUCGCAAUUUGUCAAAAUUUUUUGGUCGUGAAUUUUAUUUUAUGAUGCAAUAUUUGAUAAUCGAAUGCACGCUCGAACAAACGCAGAUUCAGUCGCAACGGUGAAAAGUUAUACGAUAGGUGAAUAAGUUGAAAGAAUGGUGAAAACUCAUGCAAACUUUCAAAAUCACUAGAGCAGUCUUUUUCAUCAGCACCAUCCAUCGAUCUACCAUAGAUUAGUGUCGUUGCGAAAAAGUGUAAAGUUCCGUUGUCCCAAAUCACCCGAUAACUUUCUUUCGGAAGCCAAAUUGCCAGUUUGGAUUUCUAGCUUAUGCAUCGAGGCGUGCUGUAUGACGGGACGGAAUAUUCUAAAUUCAAUAUCCAGUAGUAGCAAACAGGCAUUAACAAUAUGGUUUCGAUAGUCAUGGGCAUUCUGGAGCUAUCUCGCAAAGUGGGUUUCGUCACCGGCUACGAAUCGAUUACUAUGGAAAACGCCCACACUGGAAGGCAAAAUGCAUUUCUCGCUGCGGUCAGGCCAUGCACCGUUUGGGCUCCCUCCAGAAAAAAAUCAAAUCACUGCACCGGAAACUGUCGGAAGUGUUUACUUGUUCAAAACCGACAGCUAAAGUUUUCAGAAAUUAUAUUUUUGUGAUAGUUUGA